GACGAACGCUGGCGGCGUGCCUAAUACAUGCAAGUCGAGCGAGACUCUUCGGAGUCUAGCGGCGGACGGGUGAGUAACACGUGGGCAACCUGCCUGUAAGACUGGGAUAACACCGGGAAACCGGUGCUAAUACCGGAUAAUCCUUUUCUUCUCAUGAGGAAAAGCUGAAAGUCGGUUUCGGCUGACACUUACAGAUGGGCCCGCGGCGCAUUAGCUAGUUGGUGAGGUAACGGCUCACCAAGGCGACGAUGCGUAGCCGACCUGAGAGGGUGAUCGGCCACACUGGGACUGAGACACGGCCCAGACUCCUACGGGAGGCAGCAGUAGGGAAUCUUCCACAAUGGACGAAAGUCUGAUGGAGCAACGCCGCGUGAGCGAUGAUGGCCUUCGGGUCGUAAAGCUCUGUUGUUAGGGAAGAACAAGUACCGGAGUAACUGCCGGUACCUUGACGGUACCUAACCAGAAAGCCAUGGCUAACUACGUGCCAGCAGCCGCGGUAAGAC
rnacentral:rRNA from 1 species